rnacentral:rRNA from 1 species
AGAUUGAACGCUGGCGGCAGGCCUAACACAUGCAAGUCGAGCGGUAGAGAGGUGCUUGCACCUCUUGAGAGCGGCGGACGGGUGAGUAAUGCCUAGGAAUCUGCCUAGUGGUGGGGGAUAACGUUCGGAAACGGACGCUAAUACCGCAUACGUCCUACGGGAGAAAGCGGGGGACCUUCGGGCCUCGCGCCAUUAGAUGAGCCUAGGUCGGAUUAGCUAGUUGGUGAGGUAAUGGCUCACCAAGGCGACGAUCCGUAACUGGUCUGAGAGGAUGAUCAGUCACACUGGACUGAGACACGGUCCAGACUCCGUACGGGAGCAGCAGGUGGGAAUAUUGGACAAGUGGGACGGAAAGCCUGACUCCAGCCAGUCGCCGUCGGUGUGGUAGAA